rnacentral:rRNA from 1 species
UAGCAUCACCAAAUCACCCCGAGUGCACCCGAUCACAUCGGGUCCCGACAGCUAAGUGGCGACGAGCCUGGUUGAUCUCUGGAUGGGAGACCGACCGUGAAUACCAAGUGUUGUCGGGG